rnacentral:rRNA from 1 species
CGACGCAAAUACCAGCAGAGUGAGCUGGUGCCCGCUUCGUAUCCUGAACCUUCGCCGCCCCGACGUAGGAGGCCGCUGUCCCUACCGCGCCUCCGUCGCCUCCGUUCGUUUAGGAACGCCGCCGCUGGUACCUACCGGCCGCCGGUACCGAAGCCAAGGGACACCUCUCUUCGCUCUCUCUUCUCUCUAAGACUCUCUCUCGCAACGGCCACUAGAUCUUCUUUUGUCUCCCCUCCGACCUCUCCUUCCCGUGCCAGGACGACCAGGCCACGACGAGGCUAGGCCGUCUCCGCUCCGCCUCGUCUAAGCCCUCCUCCGACACCUCCAGCGCCGAACGCCGCCCCCGACGACUUACUCCAGCUCCUGCCCCAUGUCGCCGCUCCGCUGUCCCUGAACCGUCGAGCUCGUCCUGUCGUCGUCUCGAACGGAACUUGCUUCUUCUGCCCGCCGCCGCGACGUCUUAGUCCGCCCCUACCCGCGCUUCAGCUGCUGCCGCUGCGUCAGCAGCUCGUCCCCUACGGUACCGUACCACGAACGGAGGACGUCAAAGGACCUCUACUGUCUCUCAUUCACUCUCUCCCUUUUGCCUCCCUUGCCCUCUUCCUCUUCGUUGCUCCCCUCGCCCCAGGCCGGACUACCUUCACCAGCGGCUGCCACUGCCAAGCGGCCCCGCCGCCCAGUGCUCCUCCUCGCGAGCUCGUAGACGCGCGACCUAGCUCCCGAGCUCCUCGUGGAGAGGACACCACGACCUGUGCGUGCCCUCGUCCCUUCCCCUCCGCCGAUGCUCGACCAACCCACCUAGCC